rnacentral:rRNA from 1 species
GUGAACGCUGGCGGUAGGCCUAACACAUGCCAGUCGAACGGCAGCACAGUAAGAGCUUGCUCUUACGGGUGGCGAGUGGCGGACGGGUGAGGAAUACAUCGGAAUCUACUUUUUCGUGGGGGAUAACGUAGGGAAACUUACGCUAAUACCGCAUACGACCUACGGGUGAAAGCAGGGGAUCUUCGGACCUUGCGCGAUUGAAUGAGCCGAUGUCGGAUUAGCUAGUUGGCGGGGUAAAGGCCCACCAAGGCGACGAUCCGUAGCUGGUCUGAGAGGAUGAUCAGCCACACUGGAACUGAGACACGGUCCCGACCCCUACGGGAGGCAGCAGUGGGGAAUAUUGGACAAUGGGCGCAAGCCUGAUCCAGCCAUACCGCGUGGGUGAAGAAGGCCUUCGGGUUGUAAAGCCCUUUUGUUGGGAAAGAAAAGCAGCAGGUUAAUACCCCGCUGUUCUGACGGUACCCAAAGAAUAAGCACCGGCUAACUUCGUG